CUUACACACCUUCGCCGCCCACAACAAUCUCGCCGGUGGUAACCUCCUCACACCUUCACAUCACCAUUCUUACCCUUUGGAUACAGAUCUGGAAAUCGAUGAAUCUGGUGAAGGAACACAUGGUUCUAGAAUCUUUGAAGUUGUUCUACCAUUCAUACCCUUUGGAUCCAAAUCUGAAAAUCGACGACGGUGACAGAGACCUUCAUUUUGCAAUUCUUCCUUCGAACACU
rnacentral:lncRNA from 1 species